GACGAACGCUGGCGGCGUGCUUAACACAUGCCAGUCGAACGGAAAGGCCCUGCUUUUGUGGGGUUCUCGAGUGGCGAACGGGUGAGUAACACGUGAGUAACCUGCCCUUGACUUUGGGAUAACUUCAGGAAACUGGGGCUAAUACCCGAUAGGAGCUCCUGCUGCAUUGUGGGGGUUGGAUAGUUUCGGCGGUUGGGGAUGGACUCGCGGCUUAUCAGCUUGUUGGUUGGGUAGUGGCUUACCAAGGCUUUGACGGGUAGCCGGCCUGUGAGGGUGACCGGCCACAUUGGGACUGAGAUACGGACCAGACUCCUACGGGAGGCAGCAGUGGGGAAUAUUGCACAAUGGGCGGAAGCCUGAUGCAGCAACGCCGCGUGCGGGAUGACGGCCUUCGGGUUGUAAACCGCUUUAGCCUGUGACGAAGCGUGAGUGACGGUAAUGGGUAAAGAAGCACCGGCUAACUACGUG
rnacentral:rRNA from 1 species